rnacentral:rRNA from 1 species
GACAGAGGGUGCAAACGUUGUUCGGAAUUACUGGGCGUAAAGCGAGUGUAGGCGGUUCUCUAAGUCAGGUGUGAAAGCCCCGGGCUCAACCCGGGAAGUGCACUUGAAACUGGAAGGCUAGAGUAUCGGAGAGGUUGGUGGAAUUCUCGGUGUAGAGGUGAAAUUCGUAGAUAUCGAGAGGAACACCGGUGGCGAAGGCGGCCAACUGGACGAAUACUGACGCUGAGACUCGAAAGCGUGGGGAGCAAACAGG